CUUCCCUCUCAUUGUUGUUUUCUCUAUUAGAAUUGGGAACUAUGUGGCAUAUUGGAUAGAAAACAGGAUUUAGAGUCAGGAAGACAUGUUUGAAUUCAGAUGUGUGACUUGCUCAGGAUCUCAUCCAAACCUGCAGCCUUUGUGCCUCAAUUUCAACAUCUAUAAAAUGGCUAUGAGAAUAAUAAUAAUAAUAAUAAUAAUAAUAAUAUCUCCCUCCCAAGGUUGUUACCAAAUGAGUUAACUUAUGUAAGACACUUUGCCAACCUUUAAAUGUUCCAUAAAUAUUGUUAUCAUUAUUAUAAUAAAAGAUUAUUGAAAUCAGGGGCUGUUGCACUAAUAAAUUUGGAUCCCUAGUACUUAAUACAGUUCAUGACACAUAGCAAGUUUAAUAAAUGUCAUUUAUUUAUUCAUUCCCAAGGGUCCCUUCUAACUUUAAUUCCAUUGACAUACUAUACUUAGGAUGAGCUCUUUUGACUAGGCAGUGAACAUGAAUUAUUAAUAUUCAUUCUUUUAGCUCUGUCCUCUAGAUGGUGAUAAGAACUACUAUGGUUAUGUUCUCCUACAAGAUACACCCAAAUGGUGUAGAAGGUUUCCAUGUAGGAUCCCUACCUCAUUACUGCUCCUAAUUGUUGACAAGUUCCCUAGUUGACCUUCUCAUGAUAUUUACCAAACCAAACCAAACAAACAAACAAACAAACAACCAAAAAAAAGCAUUUGGAUCAUUGAGGAGAGCCUUUGGUACCAAACCAACCAUCCAACUAAUAAAAAAAAAAGAAUUUGGAUCAUUGGGGAGAGCCUUUGCUACCAAACCAACCAACUAACCAAAAAAAAAAAUUGGGAUCAUUGGGGAGAGCCUUUUGUAACAAACCAACCAACCAACCAAUCAAAAAAAAAAAAAAAGCAUUUGGAUCAUUGAGGAGAGCCUUUGGUACCAAACCAACCAUCCAACUAAUAAAAAAAAAAAAAAGAAUUUGGAUCAUUGGGGAGAGCCUUUGCUACCAAACCAACCAACUAACCAAAAAAAAUUUGGGAUCAUUGGGGAGAGCCUUUUGUACCAAACCAACCAACCAACCAAUCAAAAAAAAAAAAAAAGCAUUUGGAUCAUUGAGGAGAGCCUUUGGUACCAAACCAACCAACCAAUGAACCAACCAACCAAAUAACAAAAAAGAAGAAGAAGAAGGAGAAUUUGGGUCAUUGGGCAGAGCCUUUAGAAUCAUGAGUGUUCGUACUACAUGGGUAUGAACCAGGAAAAUGAUAUGCUUCUCCCAGAAUACAGAGUGUAGAGAAGCAAUACUCUUAACUAGAAAGUAGUUCUGGCUCCCACAGGCAUGCUGUUGCAGUGGAUUGGGAUCUCUCUGAAUUCCUUCCACUCAAAGAGAGAGCAUGGAAAAAUGAUCCUUUCUUCUUCCUAUGCCUCCCUGCAGAAGGACAACAUAAUCUUUUAAAAUACAACACUACUAAAAACCUCAAAAUGUGGCAACAAAAUCACAUUAAAAUAGUCUACGGAAAUUAAUGCCACAUCGAUUGAGCCAAGCCAUUUCCAGCUCUGAUGGCCCCCAAGAUGCUUCUUUCCUCUCUUGUAACUGGAAAUCUAUGAACCUCAUUCUGUGGUAACUGGAAGGAGCUCAGUGUAUU
ensembl:lncRNA